CUCCUUGGCAACCCGGGGGAAACAACCUGAGUCAGGAGAGGGUAGCGCGCGGGAGAAAAACCGUGAGGGGAAAUCCCGGCCCUUCCGUUCUGACGCAGAGACUGCGGUCUCCCUGCCUUUGUCUGGAGAACCUCAAAGAAAGUAAAGUUCCUGCCGGGAAUAUUCUACUCUCAGGCUGGCUGGUUGGUUUCCAGUUCACCAUACCAUCUUAGUAAACUUGAAGACAGGACUUUUGACUGUCCCAUUGGUGAGGUUUUCAACACCCUCCGCAAACACUAAGCCCAGCAGCAUACUGGGCAGGCUAAAACAAUGUAAGGCUCAGGGAUCCGAUACAGAGCAGCUGAGAAAUAAAUAAUGUUGCUGAGGCUGAAGAUGAUACAAAGAAGCAUGGCUGCUGCUAUCUGAGGCAAAGAGAAGGGUCUGGAGGUGGCCAGGAGCCACUCCUUCCUCAGAGUCUUGUCCAGGAGGAUGGCUUCCAUCUGCAAGUGUGUGGCCAGGAUCACACACACGUGAAACAGCUGGUGACUAUGACCUAUGAAAAAACACAAAAGGUCAUCAAGAUUACCAGUCAGAACCAGAGAAAUGGCUCUGUGGGUGAAGGCUCCUGCUGCCAAGCCUGGUAACAUUAGUGCCACUCCUGCAACCCUCAGAAGAGUAUACAUUCCCAUUAGUUGUUCUCUGACCUCUGCAUGUUAUGGCUUGUGCAUACCCAUAUAUAUAAUAUAUAUAUGUAUACACACACACACACACACACACGCACACACACACACACACACACACACACGCACACGCAUGCAUUUACAUGAAAUAAAUUACGUGCUGGGAAGUCAUCCAUCAAGAGAUAUAUGGGCACAGGCUGUGAUACGUAUGCUAAAAAUGCAACAGUUAAAUCCAAGGAUCCAGGCCAGAGAUCACAUAUAUGAUUUUUUUUGUUUGGUUAACUUAUUUCAGUGCUGAUUGUCUUCUGAGACAGGGUCUCAUGUAGCCCAGACUUGAACUCACUAUGUAGCUGAGGAUGACUUUAAACUCUGGUCCUCCUGCCUCCACCUCCUGAGUGCUGGGAUCACAGGCUUGCACAAUCACACUAAUUUUAUAAUUCAGCUUGUAAGAAAUGCUUAGAGAGGCAGGUGAAAGAGCCAUAGGCAUGCCUGCAUCCUUAUGGACACAGACUGGCUGGAGACAUUCACAGGCCUGCAGUGCCAGGCAGAUAGUGCCAUUAUGAUGAGCAAAUCUAUGGUGGAGAAAUGGGAGAGCAAUGGGCUGGCUCUUGUGUUGUGGAAAGAGGCGGAGCUGAAAAAGCAAAGGUGGUGAGAAACAAGCUAAUGUAGGGGGCCUGCUUGCCACCCAGGGCCAUGGUCCUACGCCAGUAGGGUAGUUGACAACCCCAGUCUGUGCUGACGUUCAUUGCCCACAUAACAACCAAAGGCCGCCAGGUAGUGGUGGCGCAUGCCUUUAAUCCCAGCACUCAGGAGGCAGAGGCAGGCGGAUCUCUGUGAGUUCAAGGCUGGGCUGGACCGACAGCUUCUAAAACAAUACAGAGAAACCCUGUCUCAUAAAACCAAAAAAAAAAAAAAACCAAAAAACAAAAACAACAACAACAACAACAAAAAACAACCAAAGGCCACAUUGAUGCCCCAGUGUCUGGGCUGCCACCUAUGGUCAUAUUGGUGUCUGAGGACUGUGCCACAUAGGGGCCAUGCCAAUCUGAGUGGCCUGAGCUGCCACCCAGUACCUUGAUGUCAUCAGGGCCCGAGCUGCAGAUGAGGGACAUGUCAGGGUUCAUGACCAUACUGCAGCCAGAGUCUGUGUUGGUGUCCAUGCUUCAGUUACCAUUGAAGACCAAAUGGAUGUCUGUAGUUGGACCUGCCACCUGAGGCCAUGUUGCUGUCUGAGAGCCAUGCUCCAGCUGUACCGUACUUAUCUGAGUGUCUUGUACUACCACUUGGAUCAUGGUGACAUCUGGGCCCAGGCUGCUGCCAAGAGCCACGUCUGGGUCUGUGGUCCUACCACAGCUGGGGUCUAUGCUGACAUCCAUGGCCUGUGUUGCCACCAAAGGGCUACCCAGAUCCACAUCCUGGGCUUUGAGUUGGCCCACUCCAGCAUCUACACCAUCCAUGACCUCCUGAGUGCAUGAAGGGAUUUGUCCUACAGAACCAUGACCUCGGGAUCUCCAUGAUACCAGACAAUGGCAGGAUGAGAUAUCCAGGAGGAGUUUUGGUGAGGAUCUAGUGUUGAUGGUGUACCAGAAGCCAGAGCCCUUGAACCAGAACUACAACUCAUUACAAUGAAUAUUUUCAAGCAAA